CUAAAAAAAUACAUUAAAAUGAAUUUUGAAUCUGUGGUCUUAUUAUCAUGGUUUAAUAUUUAAGGUUAUGUUGUGGUUUUUGUACAUCUUGAUUAAUUCGUGUUUUCAUUUAAUAGCCUUUCUAUAUUCACUAUUGAAAGUGAUAAAAUAAAUCAGAAUUAACCAUGUGUCGCACGUUGGGUGCUUUGUUACAAACGUGUAUAUGCGGUGCACAAAUGAUAGUACGGAUCUUUAUGAUUCUCCUGAUGAUGAUAGAGAAUAUACUCAAACUGCUCCUGACCACACUUUAUAACUUCUUGUCGAUAAUACUGCAAAUAAUAUCUAUGCUACCAGUAUGCUUAGUAUUUCUGCUGACGUCGAAACUGAAGUGUUUGUUCUGUGGAGGCUGUGGCUGCCCAGGUGCGGGUGGCGGUGCGAUCGGCAACUGCAUCGCUACAGCGAUAACCCUUGUAGCGGCAUACUUCAUAUUGAAGAACACUGGAAUGUUGGAUCUAAUAUUUAUCUAUCUGGGUUAUACAAAAAAGAAUGCUACGAAUUAUAAUACUUCGAAAUCUUCAUCAUAAUUCUUUUUUGUACAAAGGAUUGGUCCUGUUGUUACCAGACGUUCAUCAACGGGAAUCAGCGGUCUCAACAUUAUCUUACUGGUUCACUACCACGGGACUAGAGAGUCCCGGAUUUUUGGGAGGCGAACGUGGGGCCGAAGCCAACACUCUGAAGCCUGAGACAACUUUAAUGAAAUGGUGACACAAAACCGACGAUUAUCCCUGUAUACACUAUAGAAAAGUACCCAAGGACAAGCCCCAGUUCUGUGCUAAACUAUUGCUAACUAUGGAUGAAAAGUACUUGGGCCAUUGUAAUGGGUUGCUAAUGGACUAGGAAUGGGGAAACUACGGGAACUAUGGCACCCGCCGAUAACAAUGUAAUAAAUACACGUAAAAAUAGCAGGUGGAGACUCGCCACCUCACUUACUGGGCCCCCGGGAAUAAGUCGCUAAAUCGCAACAAGGGGGCAACAGGGACAUGAGCGGCUGAAGGGUGAGGAUACCUCGGCGGACUUUAAACGCAGAUCACGUGCUCCCUGUGGGUACAGCAUCACCGGCCCACUCGCCACUUGCCACGAGGCACCUACUCUCCGAGCAGGGCUGCUAACCCUGCUCUAGCCACUCCACUCUGACCGGCAGAUAAAAGGCAAGCCAGAGGCGGGAGACCUAUCCUCCGACAUGCUUCACUCCGGCCGGCCGGAGAUGGGGGACAGUAUACUCUCCCUGGAAUACUCGCUAUAUAUAGUCCCGCGGGGUCGCUACUCCCCGUCAUCCUUCCAGAUGUCCUGCGGGGCAAAUUAUUAAUUAUGUUUAUGCAUAAAUAGUUUAAAAAAAAUACUUUGUAUCUCUUAAAUAAGUUUACAUUAGAUAAGAAUUUAUUAUUAAAUUAUUUU
rnacentral:lncRNA from 1 species